CAGUUCUUGAGUUUCAUCCUGUCACCUUUCUUGGAAAAAUUUAUAAAACUCAAUGGGAAGUCCAUCCAUUCCAGGGGCUUUGUUGAGCUUCGCUUCAUUUAUGGAUGUUUUUAUUUCUUCUUCUGUGAUGGGCUGGUCGCAAAAUUCUUGCUCCGCCUGAGAGAGUCUUGUUGAUCUAUGGCGGCAGAAGGC